rnacentral:tRNA from 1 species
CGGUGAUUGCUGGUGGUUCGACGUUCUACGCUUCGUUCACAUCGAAGAUGUCAGGGGUUCAAAUCCCUUAUCACCCACCA